UGAACGCUGGCGGCAUGCCUUACACAUGCAAGUCGAACGGCAGCACGGGUGCUUGCACCUGGUGGCGAGUGGCGAACGGGUGAGUAAUACAUCGGAACAUGUCCUGUAGUGGGGGAUAGCCCGGCGAAAGCCGGAUUAAUACCGCAUACGAUCUACGGAUGAAAGCGGGGGACCUUCGGGCCUCGCGCUAUAGGGUUGGCCGAUGGCUGAUUAGCUAGUUGGUGGGGUAAAGGCCUACCAAGGCGACGAUCAGUAGCUGGUCUGAGAGGACGACCAGCCACACUGGGACUGAGACACGGCCCAGACUCCUACGGGAGGCAGCAGUGGGGAAUUUUGGACAAUGGGCGAAAGCCUGAUCCAGCAAUGCCGCGUGUGUGAAGAAGGCCUUCGGGUUGUAAAGCACUUUUGUCCGGAAAGAAAUCCUUGGCUCUAAUACAGUCGGGGGAUGACGGUACCGGAAGAAUAAGCACCGGCUAACUACGUGCCAGCAGCCGCGGUAAUACGUAGGGUGCGAGCGUUAAUCGGAAUUACUGGGCGUAAAGCGUGCGCAGACGGUUUGCUAAGACCGAUGUGAAAUCCCCGGGCUCAACCUGGGAACUGCAUUGGUGACUGGCAGGCUAGAGUAUGGCAGAGGGGGGUAGAAUUCCACGUGUAGCAGUGAAAUGCGUAGAGAUGUGGAGGAAUACCGAUGGCGAAGGCAGCCCCCUGGGCCAAUACUGACGCUCAUGCACGAAAGCGUGGGGAGCAAACAGGAUUAGAUACCCUGGUAGUCCACGCCCUAAACGAUGUCAACUAGUUGUUGGGGAUUCAUUUCCUUAGUAACGUAGCUAACGCGUGAAGUUGACCGCCUGGGGAGUACGGUCGCAAGAUUAAAACUCAAAGGAAUUGACGGGGACCCGCACAAGCGGUGGAUGAUGUGGAUUAAUUCGAUGCAACGCGAAAAACCUUACCUACCCUUGACAUGGUCGGAAUCCCGCUGAGAGGUGGGAGUGCUCGAAAGAGAACCGGCGCACAGGUGCUGCAUGGCUGUCGUCAGCUCGUGUCGUGAGAUGUUGGGUUAAGUCCCGCAACGAGCGCAACCCUUGUCCUUAGUUGCUACGCAAGAGCACUCUAAGGAGACUGCCGGUGACAAACCGGAGGAAGGUGGGGAUGACGUCAAGUCCUCAUGGCCCUUAUGGGUAGGGCUUCACACGUCAUACAAUGGUCGGAACAGAGGGUUGCCAACCCGCGAGGGGGAGCUAAUCCCAGAAAACCGAUCGUAGUCCGGAUUGCACUCUGCAACUCGAGUGCAUGAAGCUGGAAUCGCUAGUAAUCGCGGAUCACGCAUGCCGCGGUGAAUACGUUCCCGGGUCUUGUACUCACCGCCCGU
rnacentral:rRNA from 1 species